ensembl:lncRNA
GGACCAGGAACUGCCAUCCUUGCAUGACUCCAUCCCUUCCCCCAUUAUUCUCUAUGCACAACUUAAGGUAUAAAAACUACUUUGGAAAAUAAAGUGCAGGCCUUGUUCACCAAAACUUGGUCUCCCCAUGUCACUCUCUCUCUCAAAUUCUGGCUGAGUCUCCAUCUGGAGCGCGGAACCCGCCAUGCUUGCUAAUUAUGCCUGGGCUUCUAAGAUCCGACCGGGGAGGCCUCAGUGUCUCCUCUCCUUCGGGAGAACGGAAGGACACCUGCGGCCUACUUGUCAAAGUUCUUUCACAUAACUCUCCACUUCUAAUGAACUGGUGAGAUAGAGACAAUAAGAACAUAUUUACAGAAGGGACCAUAAGAACAUCCUGAGAAGAACUCAACAUAGAAAAAGAGAAUCAAGACCAUUACAUAUAAGUUGGUCAGUUACUAAGUCAUGUCUGACUCUUUGAGACCCCAUGGACUACAGCAUGCCACGUCUCCUGGUCCCUCACUAUCUCCUGGAGUUUGCCCAAGUUCAAGUCCAUUGAAUUGGUGAUGCUACCAACCAUCUCAUCCUCUGCCACAGAGGUUGCCUUUUGCCUUCUCCUUUUGCCUUCAGUCUUUGCCAGCAUCGGUGUCUUUUCCAGUGAGCUGGCUCUUGGCAUCAGAUGCCCAAAUUAUUGAAGCUUCAACAGCAUGAGUCCUUCCAAUGAGUAUUCAGGGUUGAUUUCCUUUCAGGUUGACUGGUUUGAUCUCCCUGCUGUCCAAGAGACUCUCAAGAGUCUUCUCCAGUACCACAAUUUGAAAGCAUCAAUUCUCAGUGCUCAGCCUUCUUUAUGGUCCAACUCUCACAUCCAUUCAUGACUACUGGAAAGACCAUAGC